AGCUGAACCUCUUUGAGUUCUUAAGAAUAAUGCUGCCAUCAUCAACCCUGUCAUAAAACCCUUUUGGCAGCAUUGCAAUCAAGCAAGAAGACAUAGCAAAGGAGAAGCUGUAGUCAGCUAUACGUGUACAGAUGGCUAGCUGAUGGGUGGCAUCAGGAUGACCUCAGUAAUAAACCUAAAGGACGUCACUUACAGCCGUAAGUAUGAGUCACAAAAAAACUGCUCACCCAGGGUGGAAGCUUUUAGUUGCCCAGCUGUGAUGGUUCAAUAUGCACUUUGACAACACUUCUGUGACAUGCGGGUUUGGUUUCAGAGCUGAAAUGGUCGCACGGAACGACACACUAGGUCACUGGCUAUGGCUGUUCAUGAAAUCUGCCUGCAAGUAUUGCUGGUGGUUGCAUUGUUACUUCCGGAUGCAUUGGCAGUUUCUGCCCCAAGUGCCCAGGUGCUGCAACUUAUUCAGUUACGUUUUUCAAAUAUAAUUCGUGAACACUGUCAAAUGCAAAACAAGCAUGGUUGCUUCGGACUUCACUAUGUUUUAUCUUUCUGGAUGAGAACUAUAACAUGAUCUUGUGCUGUUUGUAGUUUUGAACCAAUCAAUGUAAGACUUAAGUCAUGCUAGUCCAUUCAAUUUAUUGUAUGGACUUACUUGAUUCAGAGCGCUGAUUGCAAGUUUCCGAUGCUAAACCUGACUACGACGCACACAUGUACUAAAGCAUAUGGGGAGUUCGUGAGGAAAUUAACAUGAAGCAUAUUGUCAUCUUCUGAAACUGGUGCUGAUAAUGGUUUACCCGUUGGAAGGAGUCCUCAGAGGAUGGUAACAAGUAUGAGUUCACAGCUAUCUGUAGCACUUAUAUUUAGGAACAGAGCACCAGAUCUAGUUUCAGUUGAAGAGCCUAUUACUCUUGGAAGUUGUACAUUUCUUGAAUGGUAUUUUCCUCUUCCAUUCAAGAGCAACAAUCGGCAUGACAGACCUCAGAUGUCAUGAACUGAUUGAAUUUCUGAUAUUACACAAUCUUCUGUGUCUGAGAUUACAACACCCACAUCGCCUUUUUGCUGAGGCCACUUCUUCAGAUUGAUAUCGUUGUAAUCUGAUGGAAGAUAUGGCAUUAGCCACUGCAAAGAACUCUUUCUUUCUUCUGGGUAUCUUUCGUUGUUUUCUUGGUUUAUUCCUGUCACCAUCUGACCACAUGUCCUGUUUUGUUUUCUGCCAAUUAUUAUUCUUGUCUUCAGUGACCCACUGGGAUGAGUUGUAAAAUGCUUGCUAAGCUAUAGGUCUAUUUCAAAUUUAAAUCGACACCAACGUGCCAUGCAGAGUUAGCUUUGGAAAACCAUACCGUGUUGCACGUUGAGGUGAUGAUGCAUACCUUACAGCCUAUCAAAUAGGUGGCAUCAGGAUUGUGCCUGUGAACCUAAAGCAAGUCACUUACAGGCAUAAGCACGAGCAUCUAAUAUUUGGACGCAAUGGCAUGCUGCCACAUAACAAAAUUACUUUCAAAUAUGUAUCCUUUGCAAAAAUAUAUUGAGUAAAGAAGCUAGUUAGUUGCCAAAAUUACUUUUGUUGUCCACUUGAAAUGGUUCAAUAUGUAUCCAUUGCAAAAAUAUAUUGAGUAAAGAAGCUAGUUAGUUGCCAAAAUUACCUUUGUUGUCCACUUGAAAUGGUUCAAUAUGUAUCCAUUGCAAAACAAGGCAUUUUGAUAGCACUCCUAUGACAAGUGAGUUCUAUCUAUUUUAGAAAUGGGCAUCAUCUAGCUGGACCGCUAAUAUUUGUAGUUUUGCUUUGGACCUAUUACUAUUUUCUAUAUAUGAUUAUCAUAUGAGGUGGUGGUGGACUGGUGGUCACCCAUUGGCCCAAAGGGACAAUUUUUUGGUCGCAGUUAGAAUAGCUAAAGAUCUGGGUUCAUACUGGGGAUGCAUGUUCUUUUAGUUUUUAUUUUGAAUAGUCUUGGAAAUUAAUUGACAAGUCUGGCUGAUAUGCUCAUUGCUCAUGAGAAAAUUAACACAAAUCAUAUUGUCAUGCUCCUGAAACUGAUAGGGAGAAUGGUUCCUCGAAGAGCGGUAGUAGUUCAAGUUCACUGCUGACUUUAUGCACCUAUAUUUAGGAACAGGGCAACAAAUGUAGUCAACUGAAGAGCUUAUUCUACAACAUUUCAGUUUGUAGAAUAGUGAUCAGCCAAUCUGCAAGAACCCUUUCUUCCUCCCGGGUUCACACCCCAUGUCCUGGCACAACUGGUCAUUGUACCAGAUGUGGAGAGCUCCAGCGCAAGAUCCAUGGAAGUAUUCACGAGAGUACCUCUUCAUGUAUUCAUCCCAUUCCUUUAUAUCCAUCUCCAUAGAUUUUAUGCUAGGCAACUGAAAUGCUCCAUCAUGGAAAUGUGUCAACCAUUUGGAGUGCAUGUUGCUAUGCUCUCAGAGUAGCCGAUGAUCGCCAAUUGCGUGGUCCUAGGAUGCACGCAUUGCCUGCCCAGUUCACAAAAUUCACUGUGAGCUUCUGCAUAUGUACAGACAGACAAACAAACAUGUUUAAGAGAAAGACAGAUUAAACCUGUAGAGAGGAAUACUACUGGAUGGCGGGCCAGUCACAGUGUCUCUGAGCAAGGAUGAUGUGAACAUCCCCUUGAGCUUUUGGUCUGCUUUGUAUCCGGUGACGAAUAUGACCACAUCGCUCUUUAUAUAUCGGCGUGGAUUCUCCUUCGACAAUCACACCUUGUUUGCAGAAACUGAAGCUCUUUGCUUUCUUGAGAACAAUGCUUCCUUGAUCAACCAUGUCAUAGAAUUUGUCUAGCAAUAUGGCAACCAAGCAUGAGCUGAUGGCCUGGAGGAAACUGUGGUCUGGCACCAUGCCGUGCCUAUCCAUAGGCACCGCCCAUCUGUAGUAGCUCUCGACAAACUUCGAAAGGAGCCAUCUCUGAUCAGUGUAUAUAUUCAGGUUGAAUAAAUGCAUGAGCACAAAUAGAUGAUCUGUAGUUACUUAAAAGAGUGGUGUGGUAUAAGUAGAAACUCUGGCUGGUGGCCAUUACCAAGGGUGAUAAGAAGGUAGCAAGAAUGCUAAGGAUCAGCCCCUCUCCUGGCUUGUGAACUAGGAGCUCCGAGAAGUGGUUGAGGUAGAAGAAUGCAAUGGGAAUGCCCCAGGCGUAGUAGUCAGCAAUGUCAACAGCGGACUUCUGGUAACCGACAACAGUACCGAAAAAGGCUUUCGCCCCUGAUAAGCUCGGUGGACUUUGCAGCGCCCAUGUCGGAGUGGAUCACCGUGCCGUCAAAGUUCUCCAGCCCUUUGUUCGGCGGGAAUGUGGGAAUGUUGGGGACGCCGCUGAAUCUCCCAGUGCACAGGAUCACAAAGUCAGUGACGUAUGUCUGGAAAUCAGCUGUUGCCGACGCACCAAUCUGUUCAAGUGUUGAUGCAGACCUGUUUUCUCACUGUCAACUAUUGUCACUUUGUCAGCUCUUAACUACAAUGUUUUUACUGCUAGUGCAAGAAAAUUAUUAUUUUCACCUUGUUCUCAUGGAUCUUGAGGUUCUUUGCAGAUGUCAUGUCCUCACCCGGUCACCCCCGACCGCUGGUUCCGGUUGCGCCGACGAAGCAACCCUCGGUCAGCGCGGCGGCUAGGGAUGUUAAGGGAGGCUGCGGCGCCGGCGAAUCUCUUCUCCAUCGGCGCGGGGGCAUGAAUCUCAGGGAGUCAGCGUCUGCUCGGUCGCGGCAGAGCGGGAGGUCGCAUGGUCCCACGUAAGUUUGAGCUAAUCCCGCGUGGGUGCCCACGAUCACGAUUUUUGUGGGCUCCGCCCACAUCCACGUACAGCCUGAUUCAUACAUACGGUCCCGUCCGUGGGCGCUACGAUUCGACGAUGAUCCGUUGCUUCCUCGGAUACAAAUACGAAAAUCGCAAGAGCCAAUCACAAGGCGGUAAACGUAUCACGUACGUACGUCCUGUACGCUGCAGCCAGGGCUGUAUCUCCUGUAUCUGUAUGUAUGCAGUCAAUUGCAAAAAACCACCACAUUUGCGGCUAGGUUUGCAAGAAACCACCAACUCGUUAAUCCGUUGCAAAAACACCGGAAAAUUUGUUAAGUCGUUGAAAAAAGCACUGAUCGGAAGAUUUGGCAUGUUUAAUCACUUUCUUACAAGUGGGGCCAGAUUGUAAGGAAUUGAUUUAGCAAAAAAAUAACACAUACACCCCUAGAUCUAAAACACAAAAGCAAUCAGACCCUCCCAACACCGACGCCCUAUCCACUACGUGCUGCCGCCGGUCUGCUCCAUCAUCGCCUCAACCACAACCAGCAACGGCGUCGGCAGCAGCAGCGGCCGGGCCAUCGACCGCCACUCGCCGCGCCUCUGCGACCCUCGCCGCUCCUCCACCUCCAAGCCGCCAAGGCCAAGCACGAGUACCAGAAGACGUUGCUGAGGAAGAGACCGAAGGCUCUGUUAAACGAGAGUCUGGCAGACUGUGAAAGGACCGGGUUAGCCCCCUUCUGCAAGACCAACCUAGCCC